GACGAACGCUGGCGGCGUGCUUAACACAUGCAAGUCGAACGAUGAAGCCUAGCUUGCUAGGUGGAUUAGUGGCGAACGGGUGAGUAAUACGUGAGUGACCUACCUUUGACUCUGGGAUAAGCCUGGGAAACUGGGUCUAAUACCGGAUACGACCAAUCUCCGCAUGGGGUGUUGGUGGAAAGCGUUAUGGAGUGGUUUUAGAUGGGCUCACGGCCUAUCAGCUUGUUGGUGAGGUAAUGGCUUACCAAGGCGACGACGGGUAGCCGGCCUGAGAGGGUGACCGGCCACACUGGGACUGAGACACGGCCCAGACUCCUACGGGAGGCAGCAGUGGGGAAUAUUGCACAAUGGGCGCAAGCCUGAUGCAGCGACGCCGCGUGAGGGAUGACGGCCUUCGGGUUGUAAACCUCUGUUAGCAUCGAAGAAGCGAAAGUGACGGUAGGUGCAGAGAAAGCGCCGGCUAACUACGUGCCAGCAGCCGCGGUAAUACGUAGGGCGCGAGCGUUGUCCGGAAUUAUUGGGCGUAAAGAGCUUGUAGGCGGUUGGUCGCGUCUGCUGUGAAGGCUGGGGCUUAACCCUGGUUUUGCAGUGGGUACGGGCUAACUAGAGUGCAGUAGGGGAGACUGGAAUUCCUGGUGUAGCGGUGGAAUGCGCAGAUAUCAGGAGGAACACCGAUGGCGAAGGCAGGUCUCUGGGCUGUAACUGACGCUGAGAAGCGAAAGCAUGGGGAGCGAACAGGAUUAGAUACCCUGGUAGUCCAUGCCGUAAACGUUGGGCACUAGGUGUGGGGGACAUUCCACGUUUUCCGCGCCGUAGCUAACGCAUUAAGUGCCCCGCCUGGGGAGUACGGCCGCAAGGCUAAAACUCAAAGAAAUUGACGGGGGCCCGCACAAGCGGCGGAGCAUGCGGAUUAAUUCGAUGCAACGCGAAGAACCUUACCAAGGCUUGACAUAUACUGGACUGCGUCAGAGAUGGCGUUUACCUUCGGGGCUGGUAUACAGGUGGUGCAUGGUUGUCGUCAGCUCGUGUCGUGAGAUGUUGGGUUAAGUCCCGCAACGAGCGCAACCCUCGUUCUAUGUUGCCAGCACGUGAUGGUGGGGACUCAUAGGAGACUGCCGGGGUUAACUCGGAGGAAGGUGGGGAUGACGUCAAAUCAUCAUGCCCCUUAUGUCUUGGGCUUCACGCAUGCUACAAUGGCCGGUACAGAGGGUUGCGAUACUGUGAGGUGGAGCUAAUCCCUAAAAGCCGGUCUCAGUUCGGAUUGGGGUCUGCAACUCGACCCCAUGAAGUCGGAGUCGCUAGUAAUCGCAGAUCAGCAACGCUGCGGUGAAUACGUUCCCGGGCCU
rnacentral:rRNA from 1 species